CGGCGUGGAUAAGACAUGCAAGUCGAACGGGAGAAUUGCUAGCUUGCUAAUAAUUCUCUAGUGGCGCACGGGUGAGUAACACGUGAGUAACCUGCCUCUUAGUGGGGGAUAGCCCUGGGAAACCGGGAUUAAUACCGCAUACGAUUGAAAGAUCAAAGCAGCAAUGCGCUAGGAGAUGGGCUCGCGGCCUAUUAGUUAGUUGGUGAGGUAACGGCUCACCAAGGCGAUGACGGGUAGCCGGUCUGAGAGGAUGUCCGGCCACACUGGAACUGAGACACGGUCCAGACACCUACGGGUGGCAGCAGUCGAGAAUCAUUCACAAUGGGGGCAACCCUGAUGGUGCGACGCCGCGUGGGGGAAUGAAGGUCUUCGGAUUGUAAACCCCUGUCAUGUGGGAGCAAAUUAAAAAGAUAGUACCACAAGAGGAAGAGACGGCUAACUCUGUGCCAGCAGCCGCGGUAAUACAGAGGUCUCAAGCGUUGUUCGGAAUCACUGGGCGUAAAGCGUGCGUAGGCUGUUUCGUAAGUCGUGUGUGAAAGGCAGGGGCUCAACCCCUGGAUUGCACAUGAUACUGCGAGACUAGAGUAAUGGAGGGGGAACCGGAAUUCUCGGUGUAGCAGUGAAAUGCGUAGAUAUCGAGAGGAACACUCGUGGCGAAGGCGGGUUCCUGGACAUUAACUGACGCUGAGGCACGAAGGCCAGGGGAGCGAAAGGGAUUAGAUACCCCUGUAGUCCUGGCAGUAAACGGUGCACGCUUGGUGUGCGGGGAAUCGACCCCCUGCGUGCCGGAGCUAACGCGUUAAGCGUGCCGCCUGGGGAGUACGGUCGCAAGAUUAAAACUCAAAGAAAUUGACGGGGACCCGCACAAGCGGUGGAGUAUGUGGCUUAAUUCGAUGCAACGCGAAGAACCUUACCUGGGCUUGACAUGUAAUGAACAACAUGUGAAAGCAUGCGACUCUUCGGAGGCGUUACACAGGUGCUGCAUGGCCGUCGUCAGCUCGUGUCGUGAGAUGUUUGGUUAAGUCCAGCAACGAGCGCAACCCCUGUUGCCAGUUACCAGCACGUCAAGGUGGGGACUCUGGCGAGACUGCCCAGAUCAACUGGGAGGAAGGUGGGGACGACGUCAGGUCAGUAUGGCCCUUAUGCCCAGGGCUGCACACGUACUACAAUGCCCAGUACAGAGGGGGCCGAAGCCGCGAGGCGGAGGAAAUCCUGAAAACUGGGCCCAGUUCGGACUGUAGGCUGCAACCCGCCUACACGAAGCCGGAAUCGCUAGUAAUGGCGCAUCAGCUACGGCGCCGUGAAUACGUUCCCGGGUCUUGUACACACCGCCCGUCACAUCAUGGAAGCCGGUCGCACCCGAAGUAUCUGAAGCCAACCGCAAGGAGGCAGGGUCCUAAGGUGAGACUGGUAACUGGGAUGAAGUC
rnacentral:rRNA from 1 species